rnacentral:lncRNA from 1 species
CUGAGAAGGUGUCAGUGGACAGCAUGGAGAAGGAGGCUUUUGCAGCAGCUGAGGAGCUGGCCACUCAGAAGCAUGAACCAAGACUGCACAAAUUCUGGGAGCUGCACCUGAAAGAGACUGAAGCUUGGAAAUUAAAUCGCCAAGAAGUUGUGGAGGACGAUAAAAGACUUAAAACUACCUGCAAACUGGGAAGUUAAUAAGGCUCAUUUCAAAUGGGAAUUGCAGGAAGAAGGAGAAAAAAAAAAGAAUGUUCACAAAAAGACUAUGAGAAAAGAUACAGAAAGAUGGGAGAGGAAAAGGAAAAACUCCAAUCUGGGAUUUUUACAUUAUGCCACUUCCCAGUUACACCAGUAUCAUUUGUUGACCAAGCAGAUCAAACCUGACAUAGAAAUAUAUUAAAAACUAAGAGAAAAAUAUGGAGAGGAGUUCUAUACAACAUCUAACAGCCUUCUUCAUGGAACAUAUUUGCCUUCCACAGAGAAAACUGAUAGGACAGAAAAGCAAAUUGAAAACUGAGAUGAAUAUAGCUGGAGACACCCUUAGGAUGAUGAUGCAGAUAUCAACUACUAAACAUUUAAAGAAU